rnacentral:rRNA from 1 species
GAUGAACGCUGGCGGCGUGCCUAAUACAUGCCAGUCGAGCGAACAGAUGAGGAGCUUGCUCCUCUGACGUUAGCGGCGGACGGGUGAGUAACACGUGGAUAACCUACCUAUAAGACUGGGAUAACUUCGGGAAACCGGAGCUAAUACCGGAUAAUAUAUUGAACCGCAUGGUUCAAUAGUGAAAGACGGUUUUGCUGUCACUUAUAGAUGGAUCCGCGCCGCAUUAGCUAGUUGGUAAGGUAACGGCUUACCAAGGCAACGAUGCGUAGCCGACCUGAGAGGGUGAUCGGCCACACUGGAACUGAGACACGGUCCAGACUCCUACGGGAGGCAGCAGUAGGGAAUCUUCCGCAAUGGGCGAAAGCCUGACGGAGCAACGCCGCGUGAGUGAUGAAGGUCUUCGGAUCGUAAAACUCUGUUAUUAGGGAAGAACAAAUGUGUAAGUAACUAUGCACGUCUUGACGGUACCUAAUCAGAAGGCCACGGCUAACUACGUG